UUGGAGGGCAAGUCUGGUGCCAGCAGCCGCGGUAAUUCCAGCUCCAAUAGCGUAUAUUAAAGUUGUUGCAGUUAAAAAGCUCGUAGGUGAAUUUCGGGAUUAGUACGCUGGUCGUGCCUUCGGUACGUACUGGUGUUACUGAUUUCUACCUUCUGACGAACCAUCAUGUCAUUAAUUUGGUGUGGUGGGGAAUCAGGACUGUUACUUUGAAAAAAUUAGAGUGUUUAAAGCAGGCUCGCGCUUGAAUACAUUAGCAUGGAAUAAUGAAAUAGGACGUUGAUCCUAUUUUGUUGGUUUCUAGGAUUGACGUAAUGAUUAAUAGGGGUAGUUGGGGGCAUUAGUAUUCAAUUGUCAGAGGUGAAGUUCUUGGAUUUAUUGAAGACUAACUACUGCGAAAGCAUUUGCCAAGGAUGUUUUCAUUAAUCAAGAACGAAAGUUAGGAGAUCGAGGACGAUCAGAUACCGUCGUAGUCUUAACCAUAAACUAUGCCGACUAGGGAUCGGAUGAUGUUAUUUUUAAUGACUCAUUCGGCGCCUUACGGGAAAC
rnacentral:rRNA from 1 species